rnacentral:rRNA from 1 species
UAGUAUAUGCUUGUCUCAAAGACUAAGCCAUGCAUGUCUCAGUACAGGCCAAAAAUAAGGCGAAACCGCGAAUGGCUCAUUAAAUCAGUCAUGGUCUAUUGGAUCUUGCCACUUUACUUGGAUACCUGUGGUAAUUCUAGAGCUAAUACAUGCAACUGAGCCGUGAGCCCCUCUGCCUGGACUUGUUCCUUGCAGAUGUGGGCGAAGGGCGCUUUUAUUAGAUCCGAAAAUAAACCGACCAGACCUCGGUCUGCCAACCUAUUCCUCGGAUGAAUCCGAAUAACUUAGCCGAGCGCUACGGUCUCUGAACCGGCGCCGUAUCCUUCGAGUGUCUGCCUUAUCAGCUGUCGAUUGUAGGUUAUACGCCUACAAUGGCUGUAACGGGUAACGGGGAAUCAGGGUUCGAUUCCGGAGAGGGAGCCUGAGAAACGGCUACCACAUCUAAGGAAGGCAGCAGGCACGCAAAUUACCCACUCCCGGCACGGGGAGGUAGUGACGAAAAAUAACGAUGUGGGACUCUUCCGAGGCCCCGCAAUCGGAAUGAGUCCAACUUAAAUCCUUGGACGAGGAUCCAUUGGAGGGCAAGUCUGGUGCCAGCAGCCGCGGUAAUUCCAGCUCCAAUAGCGUAUAUUAAAGUUGCUGCGGUUAAAAAGCUCGUAGUUGGAUUUUGGCCCCGGACCGGCGGCCCACCUAAGACUCGUCCCCGCCAUCAAGGGACUGGCCUGCUUCAAGGUGCCGCUCAGCUUCUCUCGUGGUUCGCGAUCUCAUGGUCGUCGUUCCUCGUAGUUGAAGUGUUGAGAGUGCCUUGUUCUGUGCCAUGUCUCGGCGGGUUAGCGAGUCCGGUUGGAUCCCCGCUCGGCUCUGGGUUGCAAAAACCGUCGGCUCACAUGGGGUGCUCUUCACUGAGUGUCCUGCGUGGCCGGCAAGUUCACUUUGAGAAAAUCAGAGUGCUCAGAGCAGGCUAAGUCUAAUGCCUGAAUGCUGUUGCAUGGAAUGAUAGAACAGGACCUCGGCCCUGGCCCUUUGUCGGUUUUCGGGGCUCGAGGUAAUGAUUAAAGGGAACAAACGGGGGCAUUCGUACUGCGACGCUAGAGGUGAAAUUCUUGGACCGUCGCAUGACGAACUACUGCGAAAGCAUCUGCCAAGGGUGUUUUCGUUAAUCAAGAACGAAAGUUAGAGGAUCGAAGGCGAUCAGAUACCGCCCUAGUUCUAACUGUAAACUAUGCUGACCGGCUAUCCGCCGAAGUCAUUCCCACGACUCGGCGGGCAUCCUCCGGGAAACCAGAGUUUCUGAGUUCCGGGGGAAGUAUGGUUGCAAAGCUGAAACUUAAAGGAAUUGACGGAAGGGCACCACCAGGAGUGGAGCCUGCGGCUUAAUUUGACUCAACACGGGGAAACUCACCAGGCCCAGACACUGGAAGGAUUGACAGAUUGAGAGCUCUUUCUCGAUUCAGUGGGUGGUGGUGCAUGGCCGUUCUUAGUUGGUGGAGCGAUCUGUCUGGUUAAUUCCGAUAACGAACGAGACUCUACCCUGCUAAAUAGUCGGCGGAUCGUCUCCCGAGGUCGAUGGGUUCUGCCCUGAUGCCGAGUGCUGGGAUACCCCAUGGCAAGCUCCUGUUGGUUCGUGCUGUUCCCUUUACGGGGUGCACCGGGUCGCCUGAGCACCUUGGGUCCCUGGACAUCUCUGGUAUCUUGGUAUCCCCACGGCUCGUUCGGGGCGUCCGUCGCAACUUCUUCUUAGAGGGAUCAGCGGCGUCCAGCCGCACGAGAUUGAGCAAUAACAGGUCUGUGAUGCCCUUAGAUGUUCUGGGCCGCACGCGCGCUACAAUGGAGGGAGCAGCGUGCACCCUACUCCGAGAGGAGUGGGUAACCGCCUCAAAUCCGUUCUCAAUUGGGAUUGGGGCUUGCAAAUGUUUCCCAUGAACAAGGAAUUCCCAGUAAGCGCGAGUCACCAGCUCGCGCUGAUUACGUCCCUGCCCUUUGUACACACCGCCCGUCGCUACUACCGAUUGAAUGAUUCAGUGAGGACAUUGGACUGGCGCCCACGGCACGGUUCUCGCGCCAUCCGCUAACGUCUCUGCUCUGCAGUUUCGGGGUGGCCGAGGGCACCGCGGGCUGACGGAAAGAUGUCCGAACUUGAUUAUUUAGAGGAAGUAAAAGUCGUAACAAGGUUUCC